GAAAGAACAUAGACAUGAAAGGUGUGAAAGUAUCAAGUAUCCAAGUUUCACUGUGAAUUUUAGCUGGUGGGGCAAAAGAAAUUGACACUCGAAAUCAUAGAUGAUGUGUUGUGGUGAUGAUUUAUACAAGAAUGACAAAGUAGAACACAAAACAAAGAAAAAUGGCCUUACCUAUAUAUCAAAAGAUUAGCCAGUGAAGGAUUUCCUUCAUUCAAUUUCCCAUUUCCUGGACUCUUCUGAUCCUUCAAGUCUACAGACAGCACCUUUUUGCUCAGGUACUAUGUAAAGUGGAGAGCGCCCUCAAGGGAAACCAUGUAAAUGUGGAUCUUGCCCAAUGAGUGUGGUUCCUUUCUUGAGAUGGCUGAAGUAUCUUUACUAACUGCCCACUUUGGGUUGCCCUCCAGUAACUUCAAGAGGUUGUUUUUGUGUUCAUCCCCAGAGUUUAAUUGUUACCUGUGGGAGGGUUAGUCUAAUACAAGCUGCUCUACCACUCCCAGAACCAUAACUCCUACUGUAUUGCUUGAAAGAGGCCAAAUUUAGACAUUCAGAGGAGUGCUUUUAGUGGUACAUCGACAGUAUACCGUGGCAGAGAUGGCUCAUUGCCUCCCAACACCCAUGUUCUUUUUCUUCCUCAGAAACACAGCCCCAGUUUGAUAUGGAGUCACAUUUCCCAGUCUCCCAGCAACAUAAGUUCUGGCUGGUGAGAUGUAAGCAGAAAUUGUUGGAAGGAAAUUUAUGGAGGUCUCCUCAAGAGAGCAAGAGACAGCAGAAGAAAGACCCUUUAUCCUUUAUUUCUUCUCAUUUUCCAGUAUAUAGUGUGGACAUAAUGGCUGGGAUCUCAGCGUCCAUCUUGGGUCAUGAAUCGACAAUAGAAAGAUGUAGCGCAAAGUUAAAAGGAGAGUAGGUCCGAAUUUCUGGGGAGUUGCUCUGCCAGAACUGCCUACAACCCGUCUUCUUUCAAAUAAGUGAAAUGUAAAUUUUUAUCUUAUUUCAGCCAUUGUUGGUAGUAGUUGAGGCUAACCCUAAGCGAUGUAAGUCCAGUGAGGCCCUCAUAACAAGUAAUGCACCAAUAAAUACCAGUAUGCCCAUUGUAUAGGACUUUUUUUUUAAUUAACUUUUUAAUUUUUUUAUAAACAUAUAAUGUAUUACUAGCCCCAGGGG